ACGCCGCCGCCGCCUUGGACUCGCGCGUGCCGCGACCUCAUUGGAGCAGAUCCACCGAUGCGCUUGCUAUCAGGUCCAAUCUGCUUGGGUCCGCGCCGCACGGGAGGUCUGCGCGUGCCUAGGUUCUGCGUCGUCGGAGAGGAGCCGCUCUAGCCGACGGGGGAGAUGCGCCCCUCCACAGUAGGGGCCGCGAUCCUCGCAAUCCUAAUUCCCGGGAGGGACAUUUGUGUGUGAGGCCGCGGUGGAGAUGGCCUCGUCGUCAGCGUCCUCAAUGCACCAAGUCACCAUCACCCUCGCAGCCCACAGCGGUCAGGGUUCGCAAGGGCCAUGCCGCCUGCAUCGUGCUGCACUAGGGGACACGCACUCUGGUGCGGCGUGUGGCGUCUGCUGGCUGGCAAGCAAAAGCAUCACACGACAAAUGCAAGAUGGUAGAGCAACACUACAGAGGCUAAAAUGGGUUCAAUGGAAAAGAAAAGUGCAAGACUAAGGCCAAAUUGAGAGGUUUGGUUCCUCCUUGUUCCUUGUUCCUUGGGCCUCAACAAGAUCACUCUCGGAUUCGACGUCAAUGUACAGUGGCGAUACAUCCUCCACGCCACAUAGGCAGCACCUAUAGUGCCUGACAAAAGUGGAGACAAAAGUGGAGACAAUGCAGAGGAUAUUUCUUGGGUUUUUGGUAUAGAGUUAAGCAGAUCAAUCUUGAAUGUGUAUAUAUUAGAAGUAGGCAACAAUAUAUUUUCAAUCUCUUGUGAGAUACAUCGAUGUGUUCUAGAUUAAUCUCUGUAUUUUCUUUUCUGUAUAUGUUCUAGAUACAUCAUAUGUUCUACAUCAACAACAUAAUUCUUUUCUC